rnacentral:tRNA from 1 species
GAGAAUAUAGCUCAGUGGUAGGGCGCGUGCUUAGCAUACACAAGGUCCUGGGUUCAGUCCCCAGUACCCCCA